UUAACUCUAAUUUGUAUGGAAUGGGAUCGUUUGCGUACGUUUGCCGCUAGGGGCGCUGUUUUCAAUUGCAUACAAAAUUAGCUUA
rnacentral:pre_miRNA from 1 species